AGAGUAGUUCAGUGGUAGAACACCACCUUGCCAAGGUGGGGGUCGCGGGUUCGAAUCCCGUCUCU
rnacentral:tRNA from 1 species